rnacentral:rRNA from 1 species
UACAGAGGUCUCAAGCGUUGUUCGGAUUCAUUGGGCGUAAAGGGCGCGUAGGCGGCGCGGUAAGUCGGGGGGGAAAUCUCGGAGCUUAACUCCGAAACUGCAUUCGAUACUGCCGUGCUUGAGGACUGGAGAGGAGACUGGAAUUUACGGUGUAGCGGUGAAAUGCGUAGAUAUCGUAAGGAAGACCAGUGGCGAAGGCGGGUCUCUGGACAGUUCCUGACGCUGAGGCACGAAGGUCAGGGGAGCAAACGGG